UUAACAUUUUCUCCUACAUAACCCCAGCCAGUUUGUCUAUGACAAAAUUACUUUAUUGAAACGCUCAGGCAUGCACAAAUGGAAUGUACUGUUUUUCUAACUGCUAAAUUUUUGAACCAGUGGAAAAAUACUUGUAUUCAAGUCACUAACUAUACUACAAUGCAUCUCAACACUGCAAUCACAGACAGUAUGUAAAAUCAUAUUUGUGAAUAAUAAACUCAAUUCAGUUAUUUUAUGGGAAACAUAUGAAAUUUCAAAUAUGUAAAGAAAUAAGAAUAGUUUAAGCACAUAAAGUAGAAAAGUAAGUAUUGUGUAAAAAUUAUUCUCCAUUUACUCAGAUUUUUAUUUUAUGAUCUAUAGAUAAUCUAAACACUAUGGAAUCUAAUGUAUAGGAGAGACCACACCUAAGUAGAUAGAGCUCUGCACUUAAUAACAACAGAAAUCAAGGAAAGCAGAAGAUUUCAAUUCUCUAAAACCAUUAUGAAUAUUAGAAUGAAAGAAACAAUAUUUCUUGUACUAACAAUGGCACUGAGGAAGGUGGAAAAAAAAAUCAAACCACUUUCUCAAUAUUUCAUCAUUUACUCAAGAGUAUUUGGCAUGAGGAAGGAAAGUCUCAAAGCAAUGAAAUUUCUAACUGUGCAAUCACAUGCUCUAGAGCAGAAAUCUUUUAGAACACAUAUGUCCAUUUGUGGGCCAAUGGUAACCUGUUAUCUAUCAAGCACAAGCACAAAUGCUAUGACUGUGGCACCUGGCACAUAAAAUAAACUCAAUCAGUCCAUGGAACAAAUAAAUGAACGAAUGAGUGAAUGGCAGCAUAAAACAGAAGAGAGAACAAAAACAUUUCUUACCAUGACUAUUUCUUGAUGAUCCUCCUUGUUAUCACCAGCAAGUCCCUACAGGCUCUUGCCUGAUUAUACUCAGAAACACCCAGGCACACAGUUCCAGUUGGGAAUGCGAGGCAAGCACUUUGCGGUUUUGCCAUUGAGCUGCUUCCCAGCCCAUUCAUUCAUUGUCAGCGUGGGAAUUUGGGGCUGCUUCUAUGAAUGAAUCUACUAUGAAUAUUAAAAAGAGACUGACCAAUGGCGUUAGUUGUUCAGACGUAGAGAAGCAGCGGAGGCCAUCGAGGUUGGUGUCCUGGAUUUCGCCGGACUUUCGCCGGACUUUCGCCGGACUUUCGCCGGACUUUUUCGCCGGACCUUCGCCGGACCUUCGCCGGACCUUCGCCGGACCUUCGCGGGACCUUCGCCGGACCUUCGCGGGACCUUCGCGGGACCUUCGCCGGACCUUCGCCGGACUUUCGCCGGAGUUCCAUGGAAGUUUCACCCUGGUUUGGUUCCCAGAGGUGAUUCUUCGACUUCCAAGAGACUGCUGAAAGAAAGAAGACAUGGUUGAGGAUCUGCUGGGGUCUGCUGCAGCGCUGGAUGGAAUGGCCCGCCAUAAGGAGGUAGGUAGGACUCCUCUCUGCUGCGGAGGCCUCCCCACCCCGCACGCAGACCCCCUACCUGCCAGCUAGAGCCAUGGAGUCUCAUCUUCAAACUCUGGUUUCGAGGUAUUGUUAUACGUUAGGUAAUUAGCGUCUAAAUAUUGAAAUUUGUUAAUUUUAAUUUCUACUAGUGAAAAUUAUGAGACUCAUAAAUAAUAGAAAAAUAUUUCCCACAGUUCUGGAGGUCAUAAGCGGGAAAAGUCUGUCCCAAUAGUUAUGUCAUCAUUUCACAGAAUAAUGGUGGAGACUAACUUACUCUUAAAAGCCUUUUUUCUUUCCAUUCAUUUGAAGUUGAUUUCAGUGCUAUCAAAAUGUUUAAGGGAACCUAGGAAAUGUUUCAUUUUGUUAAUUUUCAUUUAUUGGUUGUUUUUAUUAUAGAAUCCAUUUUUAAAAAAUUAUUUAAGUUGUUAAUGGUCCAUUUAUUUUAUUUUAUUUUUUAAUUCAGUACUGAGAAUUAAACCCAGUGCCUCACACAUGCCUAGGCAAGUGCCCUACCACUGAGCCACAAUCCUGGCCCAUAAAAUUCAAUAUUAUAUAAUCAAUAUUUGUAUAAGUAAGAUACCUUAUAUAUUUAGAAUUAUAUUCUUAGGAUGUACAUGGUGGUGGGAUUCACAGUGUUGUUUCCACGUAUACACAUGGGAAAGCUGCAUUAGAGUCUUUCCACUGUCUUUCCUUUGCUUAUGCCCCUCCUUUCCCUCCAUUCCCCAUUGUCUAAUCUACUGCACUUCUGUCCCCAUCACCCCUCCUAUUGUGGGUUAGCUCCCACAUAUCAGAGAAAACAUUUGUCCUUUGUUUUUUGAAGACUGGUUUAGCUUCAGUUACCAUGAGUGUCUCCAGGUGGCAGAUAUUGUAGUCAUAUUUUUUUCUGCAAAUUGGUAUGUUUUCUUUAAUCUUCUUUUUAAAAAAAAUGUUCUAAUUCUACAGGACAAUAGGAUGCACUUUGACAUAGCGUACAUAAAUGUAGUAUGAUUUCUCAUGCUUCUGGUUGUACAGGAUGUAGCAUCACACUAGUCACGUAUUUGCAUAUGUACUUUGGAAUAAAUGUCUGAUUCAUUCUACUAUCCACUCUACCCAGUGUACCCCUUUCCCUCUCUUCACUUCUCUGUGCAGUCUAAAACAACUCUAUUCUUCCCUACCCCCCCCCCCCCCCUUACUGUGAUUAUCAUAAGCAUAUCAGGGAAAAUUUUCUGGGAUUGGCUUAUCACUUAGCAUGAUAAGCUCCAUCCAUUUACCAGCAAAUGUCAUAAUUUAAUUCUUCUUUAAGGCUGAGUUUAUUCCAUCCUAUAUAUGUGUGUAAAAUUGUUUAUGUGUGUGUAUGUGUGUUUGCAUUGUGUGUGUGUGUGUGUGUGUAUAUAUAUAUAUAUGUAUAUAUUACAUAUAAUAUAUAUAUAUUAUAUAUAUUAUAUAUAUGUAUAUAUACACACACACACACAUACACACAUAUGUAUAUCUAUACUCAUACACACCACAUUUUCUUUAUUCAUUUAUCUGUUGAAAGACACCUAGGUUAGUUCCACAGUUUAUCUAUUAUGAAUUGAGCUGCUGUAAACAUAAUGUGACUGUGUCAUUGUAAUAUGCUGGUUUUAAGUCGUUUGGUUAUAAAAUGAGGAAAGGGAGAGCUGUGUCAGAUGUUGGUUCCAGUCCACGUUUUCUGAGGAAUUUCCAUACUGCUUUCCAUAAUGGUUGCCUCAAUUUGCAGUCACACAAGCAAUGUGUGCGUGCACCCUUUUCCCCACAUCCUCCCUAACAUUUAUUGUUACUUGAUGAUUGUAUUCUUGAUAACCAUGUUUGUCGACUGGGGUGGGAUAAAAUCUUGGAGAAGUUUUGAUUUGCUUUCUACUAAUGGCUAAAUAUUGAACAUUUUUCAUGUAUUUGUUGCUUCUUCUGUGAAGUGUCUGUUAGUUCCUUAGCCCAUUUAUUGAUUUGGUUAUUUGUUUUUUUUGGUGUCAUGUUUUUUGAGAUCUGCAUAUAUCCUGGAGAAUAAUGCUCUGAGGUGCAUGUGGUGAAGAUUUUCUCCUAUUCUGUAGGCUCUGUUUUCACAUUAUUGAUUGUUUCCUUUGCUGAGAAGAAGCUUUUUAAUUUGAAUCUAUCCUGUUUAUUGAUUCUUGAAAUUCUUGGAAUGUAGGAGUCACCUUAAGGAAGUCAGAUCUUAGGAUGACAUAGUGAAGAUUUAGGCCUACUUUUUCUUCUAUUUGGCUCAGGAUCUCUGUUCUAGUGCCUAAGUUUUGAUCUAUAUUCAAUUGAGUUUUGUGCAGAGUGAGAGAGAGGGCUUUACUUUUUAUUUUAUGUGGCUUUCCAAUUUUUCCUGCACCAUUUACCAUUUGUUGAACAGGCUUUUUUUUUUUUUUUUCUUAAAUGUAUGUUUUUGGCGCCUUGGUCUAGUUUGAGAUAACUGUGUUUUUGUGAGUUUUCUCUGUCUUCUAUUCUGUACCAUUCAUUGGUCUCUGUGUUAUUUUGAUGACAAUACAAUGCUGUUUUUGUUACGAUGUCUCUGUAGUACAGUUUAAGCUAUAGUAUUAUGAUAUGUCUUCUCUCUUCUUGCUUAGUAUUGCUUUGGCUAUUCUGCAUCUCUUAUUUUUCCACACGAAGUUCAUGGUUGCUUUUUCUAGUUCUGUGAAGAAUUGUUUUAGGGAUUUUGGAAUUGAAUUAAAAUUUAUGAUCAAGCACAAAUUAGUUAAAACUGUGAAAAAGAAUCCCAGCUCACCAUAGACCUGACAGUUGUCUGGUCACUGGUGUCGGUUGAUCCAGCCACUGUCUCCUGCACACUUGAUGGUUGCUAAGCUGAGGUUACUUGUUGCAUUUUGGUGUUAAGGGUGUCUUAGAGUUGAGUCUACUCUGCAUGUUGGUACUGAGGUCGUGGUUCAGCCAAGCUUUGCCAAUGCACAGCCUGGGAUACUUUUCUGGGUUUUUUAAACUUUUAAUUGUGUCUGAAAAUUUCUUUGGGUCCUUUAAUCACUUUGCUUGAUCAACGUCUGUGUGCUAGGCACUAUACUAGGUGUGGAGUACAGAGUGAAUAGGCCAAGUCCUUGCUUCCAUGGAACUUAAUGAAGUUAGUAGGAUAAUCAUAGCAUCUACCUCAAGGUUAUGAGUUAUGUAGGCAUUUUGAGGUCUCAAAUAAUUUUCCAUCCAAGUUCUACCUUUCCUCAAUUUUUAAUCAGAACUUGCCUUUUGACAAAAAGUUAAAAAUCUCUCUUAAGAUUCAUAAGAUACAUAAUUUAUAUCUUUUAGGCUUCAAAUCUAAUAUCAUUCAUUUUCCAAAAGAGCAAUAUUGGGUCAAAAUUGUAUUUAACCUUAAAGUAGACUUGCAACAUGGUAUAUAAAAACCUAGAAAUAAAAAAUGAUAUUGAAUAAAAUUUUAAAAUGUAAGUGGUCAGCUUUUAUUUCCAUGCACACGUGCAAAUUUUGAUAUGGCCAUUUUCAGUAAUUAAAUAGGCAGCCAAGUUAAACAUCAUGAAUAUGAAUGGCAAUGUAUUUGUGUAAGAGUAUGUGUCUGAAUUGUAGAUGAACCACCAGUCUUGUGUGUGUUUAUUGUGGAAUUUCAGAUAAGAAUAGAGAAGGAAAGGAUGGGUGGCAGAAUUCUGGGAAAAAAGGCAUUGAACCAUCAUUGGACUAUACACUUGAGAUUCUCUUGACUUCUCACCAGUGCCAUUGACUUUGGAGUAAGAGUUCCACUAAUUGGAGCUCAUUUUUGAAAAAUUGGCCAUUCAGGUAUUAAUAAGAGGCUACUCUUUAAAUAAAAUCAAAGGGGUGUGCCUUUGAAUGGAGUCAUUAUUUAUGUGCAAUCCUUGGGCCCAGUCUGCCUUUUUGGGAUAACCAUUAGAUUGAUAUAAUAUGAUGUGUUCCUGAACCCAGAGGUGAAAUUCCUGUCCAGGCCCCUAUUGAUAACACUAAUAAAGUCCAGUGACAUUAAGGUGAAAAUUCCAAAAAAUCUCAAACAAACCUAUGCUUUAUCAUUUAUUCUGUUUGGGACUCAAAAAUUAAUAAUAAUGGCACUGUCAAUAGAAAAUCUUAAAUAUAUUCAAGUCUCUGCAAAGCUGACCACCUCAAGUAGUACUUAUUCCCAAAACUCUGUGUUCCAUUUUCUUGGCUUGAUUGUUUUCAUAGUCGAGUUUACAUAUGGAAACUUCUAAUGUGCUAAUUUGUUCAUUUUGCUUACUGCCUGUUGUUUUUCCUCUAGAAUGUAAGUCCCAAAUGAAUAGGAACUGCACUGGUGUUUUUUUUUUUUUUUUUUUUUUCUUUGUCUUUCUAGUGUCUGGGAGGACAAUGCAGAGCAAAGAGCAGUUCCUCAUAAAUAUUUGUUAAAUGAACACAAGAAGAAGUGAAUUUUAUUUAUUUAUUUAAGAUAAAUUUAUGUUUCUCUGUCCCAUCAAACUUUAAUGAGUUAUUUGGUCACUGACUUUAAACAUUAUCAGAAAGUUCAGUUUUCUUGAGUCUUCAAAAUAUUUUUUAACAAUUCAAGCAUAAAACAUAAAAUGCAUGAUUAAUGACUCUCUCUUAAUAGAUGAAAUAAGAGAUUCUUUGACUUAUUUAUGAACAAAUGAACAAAUUGGAACAAAUAAGAGCUUUAAAGUUAAUUACUGAGAUAACUGACAAAGGGUCAUUUUACAAGCUCUAGCCUGAAGCUGGGUCUAACUGCCAUCUCUGUACAGUUCAUCCUCCUGCAGUGUAACAGACAAUCUGCCUGUCAUCACAGAGUAGGUGGCCAGGCAGGACUGUGGGUGUGGAUAUGGGGACUAUGUCAGUUGUUAACCAGGGCCCACACUGCAGUUACCAGGAGCUAGUUGGUAUUAAGUUGCAAUUCCACUGGACAGGAACCAGAGAGUUUAUUUCACCCUGAAAGCAAAAGCCAUCUCCUUUCUACACAGACAAAUCCCCUUAGGGUAGGUGGGAUUUGUUCUGUUAAUUCAUCUACCAUGUAAAAAACAAUGGGCUUGAUGCUGGAGAUAGUGUUCAACAAGACAGACAGAGGCCCUGCAGCCAUGGACAGGACUUUCUCGAUCAUAAUUUUCAAUGUGUUUAUUCUGUUUAUAAAUCCUUGUCAGGAGAAUUAAAAUACCCAUUUCUGCUUCUUUUAGGUCCUAUGGUCUUUUAAAUUUCCAAAAAGUCUUAAUUUUUAUAUUCUGUUAAAUAUUAAUAUUGAGUGGAACAGCAGAAUAGAAAAUAUACUCAAGUGGAUAGAAGAGGGCUUUUUCAUGCGUCUUUACCAUCAAUUAGCUAGUUCACCUUUCACUCACUGAAGUUCAUCCCUGGUUGAACCUUAGAACCAUACAGAGAACAUAAAAAAAUAAAGCUUUAAAAACCAAAAAUUAAAACAACCUCUCACACACAGUGUUCAGAUCCAUCCAACCUCUGAUCAAUAAGAGAAUCUCCAAAAGUAAGGGCCUGGACUUCUAUGUAAGCAAAUCCAUUUGUGCUUUCUAAAUUAUAAGAUUUGGCCAAAUUCCCCUCUAAGCUGAUUUCCCUUUUUUAAAAUUAACUGAUUUUGUCUGAAUUUACAGCCAAGCCAUUGAGCAUAUUGUCAGGAAGUUUAGAAAACUGUAGCAUAGAAUUUUGAUGAAGGGGCACCAUUAAGUGAGCAUAUUCACUUGACUUUUUUCCUUAAUAUUUCUUUUUACUUCCUACUUCUCCUCUUCUCAAGAGCAUCUUUUUCUUUCAAGGACUGUGAGUUGAGACUAUGCAGGAAAAUCUGAAAGACUCACAAACAUCAAGUUGAUAGGUUUCCAUCUCCUGAAAAGCUAUCUACUGGAAGCUGAAACUUCAUGACAGUGGGGAAAGCUCAUGAAAUUCACCAGCCUCUGCUCACAACACUGUGGCUUUUCUUGUUAAAAAAAAUUUUAAAAGAAAAAAAGUUAUUCUCGAUGUUCCUAUCAUGCAGCUUGAAAUUUAAUUCUGAAUUCAACAUUCCUAGUUCUAAGAGGUACACUAGAAAGCAAGAGUGACUGCAUAGAUCAGGUUAACUCUUCAGUUGAAGUGACCAGGGGGUGCAGGGGAUACCCCAUAAAAUGCCUAAGGAGUGCAGCUUUCCUGUCAUCCAAGGCUUCCUAUCUGGGAGUUCUGCAUGUUUUCUGCCUCUACUUUAGGGCUUGCAUGUAAAAACUGGAGAGGUCUCUGAAGACUUCUGUUUAUCCUGAGACUUGGUUCACAUGAGAGAAUGUCCUGGAAAUUCUUGUCUGUCAGCUCAGAGGAGGCAGAAGUAACCCACAUGCAUAAAAUAGGUGCUUCAUAAUUACCUCAGUACUUUAAUCUCUUUGUGGGCCAUGGGACUCCUAAUUAGGGUCCCUUCUCCCCUUUCCUUCAGAGCCAACCCCCGACUCCCAGAAACACAUGCACAGGCCUCUCAUAUUUCAGUCCUGCCUAUAAUUCCAUUUUGUGAGAGGCAUUAUUUCACAUUAUUUUCUUCUGGAUACUAGAAAACUCUGCCCUCUGGUUUUUAGGCAUUAGCUUCGUUCCAGGGCCUCCCAGAACAUAUGGUUGACAAUUUCAGUUCUCUCUGAGUAAUUUAUUUUUAAAUAUUCAAAAUCAAGAAGAGGAAAAAAUAGCUAAAGGAACUCAACAGAGUUUUGGUUUGACAGUAAUUGGAAACCAGUGAUUGGAAGCACUUGGUACACUAUGUUCCACAAAGGGCUUUUUCAAUUUUAUUUAUUUAUUUUUGGCUGCUUGCUGAGAUCUUCACUCUUUCAGUGCUGCUUAAGAAAACACAAGUGUCAAAAUGGUGCUGAAGUAUUUUCCUAACUGAAGGAAGAAGUUUGGAAAAAACAAGAGGUCCACGUUUAGUUAACCUAAAUUUCAAAUUUUAGGAAAGAAUCCUCUCCUUGGUUAAUCUAGGGUCUGCUAUUUAUUUUCCCUGACAAUAGAAGAUGACUGUGGAGGUAAUUUAAUUUAUAAGCAUGGCUCAAAGAAUUUUCUGGUUUAUCCUUGUUGUAUGUAUUGGUUAACAUCUCUUAUCUGGAGUCUUAUAAGAAUCCUGGUAGGAUCUUGCUGGAUUUAAUUGAGUUUAAUGAAGGAACUGUUUAUAGACACAUGAGCAGCCCAAAAGCAACCAGACAACAGCUGGGUCAAAGGACCCAUCAGAGAAAGCUAUUAGUGGAAAAUGAAGGCAAGAGCUAGGGAAGAAGUUUUGCCCAAUAGAAGCCACAAUCCUAGGUAGAAAGACAACCAAGGUCAAAAGCACUGUCUACCAGCAAGCUAGUGGGGGGAGUAAGUGGUCCAACCCCCUUUCUGCUCUUUCCCCUUCCUCUGUCCUGCCCUGGAUCACAGGGGCUGACUGCUAUAAGUACCUGAGUUCUCUGGCUUCCCAACUGGUUGGGUCAUUUAGAUUCACUGGUGGGAGAUGGGAGGGAAGGGGGAAGGGAGAAGCCUUAGAGUUUUCCUCUCCCUGUCUCCUUCCCAGCUCCAAUGCCUACUGGACAGGUCCAUCCCAAUUUCAGCUAAUGCCUGGUGACCUGGUCCCUGGGCUCCAGCAUGGUAUCCUUUUCAACUUAGGAAUGGAAGAGGGAGCAUGUUCUUUCUGUUGUUAAUCUCUGGCUUGGUUCUCUGUCCUACCUUUAUUCAUAGUUGGUCUUCACCUUUGAAACUCAUCCAUAGCUUUCAUUUCCCUAUUUAAAAAAACAAACAAACAAACAAAAAAACUAAACAUGGCUUAUGUUUUUGUGCUUGAUCUUGAGAAAUGCUUUAUAUUUUUAAUUGUUACUUCGAAUGGUAUUGUAAUUUUUAUUAUAUUAUCGAGAAUCUAUACUUGUUGUCUGUUUGGUUAUUGAUAGUACAGACUUUAUAUCUGCCAAUCUGGCUGUACUGUUUAAUUUAGAUGCUUUAGUAAUUUAAAUAUUAAUCUUUUGUGUUUUAAAUAUUUCUUUUUCUUUGCAUACACCGUUGGAAAAGACCCUCAGGUCCCAUGUUCAAUGGUAGUGAUGAUAGCACACAUUUUUUUUUAAAUCAUAAUUUUAAUUAAAGUGUAUUUUGGAGAUUUUUCCACUUUGCUGUAAUGUUUGUUACCGUUUUGUAGAUACGUGAAUGUUCACAAAUUUAGGAAGUGUCUCCAUUUUUAGUUUUCUGAGAGCUUUUAAUAAAAAGUUAAUGUUGAAACUUCACCAUUGCUUUUUCAGGACCUAUUGAAAUAAUUACAAUAUGUUUCCUCAUUUAAUUCCUUAGUAUGGUAUGUUGUAUAGAUAGAUUUCCCAAUGUCAAAACUUUCCUGCAUUUACUAGGAAAAAUCCAGCUUACUUAUGAUGUUUUUCCUUUAUAACUCUUUUAAUUAUAUUAGCUGGGAGGUUUUUGAUCUGUCAUCUCUUUAAGUAACUUUGGAUUCAAUCCAUGUUCACAAAUGCAAAAGGGUAUUUAAUUAUCUUUUGUCUAUGUUCCAUCUUAUUAAGGUGUUCAAAGCUCUAGCUUUUGGUUUUGUUAAUCUUUCUAUUGUUUCUGUGUGUUCUAGUUCUUUAAUUACUUCAUUUAUCUUUAUUUUUGUCCCCAUUCUAGUUUAUUUGAAUUUGUUCUAUUGCUCUUUUGCAUUCUCUUUCAUUGUUCAUUUUUUUUUUCAUUAUUUUUAUUAAGUUUCCUACUGCAUAUCAUUUUACCUGUGGCCUAAACUUUUUUUUCCUAUUUUUCACCCCUUAGCGUUUUUAGAUCUUUCUUAUGAUUUUUCCCCUUUGUGGAUGGGUUAUUUACUAUUAAGUCAUUUAUUUCCUAUAUGUGAAGCUUCUAGGUUUAUUAUUUUGUUAUUGAUUUAUAAUUUAUUUCCUAAUGGACAGAUUAUGCUAGAUAUCAAUAUUUAGUAUUGAUACUAGAGUAUAAAGUAUCUACUUUUGAAAUUGAUUUAGCUUUGCAUGGUGGAACUCUAAAUAAUUCUUUGUGAAUGUUCUCCAUUCCAAGAAAUAAAUACUUGUUUGGUAUCAAAUUCCAUGUAGAUCUAUAUGUUAGUUUUGAUAUUUUUAGUAUUAGUUAUGCUAUGUUUAGUGUUUUCUAUUUUUGCUAUUCUUACUUUAUUUGACUCUGAGAGGGAUGUGUUUAAAUCUUCAAUUCUAAUUAUCAGUAUAUUCAUUUUUCAUUUUAUUUCUCUCAGUUGUUGAUUUGUAACCUUUAAGUCUAUUGUCUAAGGGGUACAUAUGUUCAUGACUUUCCUAUCUUUCGGUAUGCUUUUCAUUUUUCCAGUGUAUAGUGUGGCUCUGUAUCUUUUAUGCCUUGAGUUCUGUUUUGUGUGAUAUUAACAUACUCAGGUUUAUGUUUGAUUCAUUUUCUGGGUUAUUAAUCUUGUUGUCAAAAAGGGACUCACUUGUAUUUAUUUAAAAAUUUUUGAAAAUUUGCUUUUAGAUGUAAAUGGUAUGAAAUAGGGAUCCAAUUUUAUUUACUUACUUUCUUUAUGGAGUCAACCAUCACAAUUUCCCCCCACUGACCUGAAAUGUCAGCUAUUAUAUAACAAGUUUCCAUAUACAUGUGGGUACUGGUUCUGGGAUCCCAACCCCGGCCCAUUUAUCUAUCUCUGCACCAAAAUAUCCAAGUCUUUCUUGCUCAUUUUAUAAUCACUUUUACUAUCAGGUAGAAAAAAUUCUACCAAAUGUUCUUUGGAAAUAUAUUAGUUCUUUACUCUAACUUACAAGUAUUAGAAAAUUUGUCAAAAUAUAGAAAACCUUGUUCUUUUUUUUUUUAAAUGUAUAGAACAAACAUCUUGAUACUUUGAGGUCUUUUAUUCACAAACAUGUCCAUUCUCAUUACUUAUAUGUGUGUGAUAUAUAUAUAAAUUUUUUUUUUAAAUUUAUUUAUUCUGAUUUGUUACACAUGAUGGCAGAAUGCAAUUCAUUUCAUAUUAUACAUAUAGAACAAAAUUUUUCAAGAAACUGAUUGUACACAGAAUAUUUUCACACCAUUCAUGUCUUGUACAUGUUCUUAGGGUAAUGAUGUCUAACUCAUUCCACCAUCAUUCCUACCCCCUUAUCCCCUCCCUCCUCCUCCCUCUCCUUUGCCCUAUCUAAAGUUCCUCCAUUCCUCCCAUGCUCGUCCACAUGGCCAUUAUGUGUCUGUGUCCUCAUAUCAAAGAAAACAUUUGGCCUUUGUUUUUGUUUUGGGAUUGGCUUGCUUUACUUAGCAUUAUUGUAUUCUCCAACUCAUCCAUUUACCUGCAAAAUCCAUGGUUUUAUUCUCUUUUAAUGCUGAGUAAUGUUCCAUUGUCUAUAUAUACCAAAGUUUCCCUAUCCAUUCAUCUACUGAACAGUAUGUGGGUUGGUUCCAUAAUUUAGCUACCCAUUCUCCUUAUUUACUCUGGUACUCUUUAAUGUUAUUCAUUAAAUUUUCAGGAUUCUCAACACAAUGGUGCUUUAUUUAGAGAACUGGAUGAAGCCUGUUCCUACCAUCCCUUUCAGGUUUUCUGUAGGGAUGAAAUGAUAGACACAUGGCAAAGGGCAACCUCCAUAUAAGAUGCUCCAGGCCUUUACUGUUACAGUUGGUUGUUUCUAGGGACUAGAGGCAAAAGCCAUGCUAUAAUUUGGAUAUGUGUAUCCCACAAAGGUUCAUGUGCUGGAUGUGUGGGGCCAAGUAGGGAGUUGAGGUGGUGGAAGCUUUCAAUGGUGGGCCGAGUAGAAAGUAAGAACAGUCCCCUCACAAAUGGAUUCAUGCUUGCUCUUAAGAGUUAUGUCUUGUGAGACUGAACUAGUUCCUACUAGAAUGGGUCAUUCUGAAGCAAGUUCAGCUUUCUUUACUCACUCUCAUGCUUCUUCUUCCAUCAUGUAAUGUUAUCUUCCAUGAGGCCCUCAUUAGAAACAUGUUCUUAGACCUCUAAAUCUGUGAGCAAAGCAAACCUCUUUCUUUUCUGAGGUAUCUAACCUCAGUCAUCUUGUUAUAGCAACAGAAAAUAGAAUAAGACAGGAACCUCAUCAAGCUCAGCACAACUCUCUACUACUUGUAAUAGCUCUGAUCCCCAUCUUACUAUAUCUUGGCAUUUAUUGUUGCAAUAUGAUUAUAAAAGUGCUUCAGGAACAUCCCUUUGAAAAUCCAGAAAUGCAGAAUUGUGCAGAGUAUGUCAUCCAUUUUUCUUAUUGUCCCAGGUCCUGUAGGGAGAAUGGACAAAGGAUAGAGUGUCCACCUCUAUUUUCCCAUUCUUUUGAACAGGAGGGAAGCUAUGCCACAGGGCACAAAGCACCAGUGGAUCACCAUCUGGUUUUUCUCCAUGUAGUUUCAUCAGCCUUAUAGUUAGAAGCUCUUUCCAAAUGCUGGCCUUAGAUAAAUUGUAUUAAUUUUCAGCAUUGUUCUAAGCUUUUCUAAAUCUCUGGACUUCAAAAGUAUUUUCAUUGGAAGGCAGAGAGGCUAGCUCAACACCCUUUAAAAUGGAAACGCCCAACUUUACCAGUUUUCACAUGAAAUAAAUUUAUGUGCUUUGGCCACAUACACAAACACAACACCCACCAAAUAUUGGGUGUUGAAAUUGGAGUUUUCAUGCAUGUUUAAAUAAGGUCCAUAUUUUCAACCAUGACUAUUCUUUCCUUUUUAUGGGCAUGUCAUCAAUACCAUGAAAACCCUAGAGGCAAAAUAAGUGAAGAGAUGCAUGCCAGAAUCACAUGUGAUGUUGAAAUGAGGUCAGCUGUCUAUAAUAGUCUAGCUAAAUGCUUUCCCAAGUGUAGAACAUUUUGUUUUGAUGAACAACUGUUGUUUGUAAUUAAUUAUAUAUAAUAUAUUAUGGUAAUCUAAUGUCAAAUUAAUAUUUCCAUUGUUUUCCAGUACUGGUAACAAUUCAUCAAAAUACGAUUUUUUUAUAUAUAUAUUCUGAAGAUCCAACCAAGUUCUAGAUUGAAAAAAAGAAAUUCACCCUCUUCAGGGUCAAAACUUGUCUUUAUAAACUCUUGCAUCUGAAUCUUGCCUUGUUAUAACCACAUACCUGCAUUUUAAGAACACAGACAUAGGCAUUUACUGAAAUUCUAGUGAACGUUUAAAACUUUGUAAACCUCAUCUUUCUAAUACAAAAAAAUUAAAUUAUAAGAAUACUUUUUUAUAGCAUUCUUCUAACAUUAUUGAGCCUUACAUAGCAUAGUGCUAUGUAACACUUCUUAAUAAUUGGCUACUCUUAGAUAUUAUUGUCAUUAUGAAUUGAACAGUAGACUGAAGUUUUCUUUUGGUUGUAGGUAUUCUAGAACUGUGUUUUCCAAACCAAAUGAUACUACCUACUAAUCACCAAAUCAAAUAACUGAGGGAAAAGGCUACACUUAACUUAUUUUGGUGAGGAUUAUCCUAGAAGGGACUUCGAAAAUCAUAAAAUAUGCCUGCUUUGGAACUCUUUAAGUAAUAGUAGCUAAAUCACAUUGUGGUAGUGCUAUUAGUCUUAUAUUGAGAAUAGAAAUAUGCACAGCUUUUAGAAACAGGCAAUCCAUAGCCAUGGCUUAAUAGCUUCCAUUCUAAACCAAGCAGAACCAGGCUUUUACUAAAACUUAAAUUGGGAUUUUUUUUUUCCUUUCAAGAAUUUCAAACAUUUAGAUUCUAUUUCAAAUACAAAAUGGAGGAGUCAUUCCAAUGAAGAUAUCUGCUGGUGGCGUGUGAAUUCAGAACAGCAUUCUGAUGGACAGUGUUUUUCUUUUGAAUGGUUUUCCUGAAGAGUGGCUAAAGCUCUUACGUAUGUGAGCACCUUGUGCUAUGGGAGAAGUGGAGGAAGGCCAUUGGUGGCAAUGUCUCCUAUCUUCUGCUACAAAAUGUUAAAAAAUAUGGAUCCAAACCGGGCACCGUGGCUGGAGUUACCCCUGUAAUCCCAGCAACUCGGGAGGCUGAGGCAGGAGGAUAGUGAGUUCAAAACCAGCCUCAGUAGAAGUGAGGUGCUAAGCAACCCAGUGAGACCUUGUCUAUAAAUACCUGUCUCUAAAUAAAAGUACUAAAUUGGGCUGGAAAUGUGGCUCAGUGGUUAAGUGCCUCUGAGUUCAGUCCCUGGUACAAAAAAAAAAAAAAAAUCUGAAUCCAAAUAUGUGUACCCUACUUAUAUAUAACUGCAUCUGCCCUUUUCAUUGGAAUUUGAUUUAGUGAUUCACAGAGGUCCUUUGAUCAUCCCUCCCAGGGGUCUUACCUGUACUCUUAAGUCAUUUAUUUAAUUAUUCCUACCAGCCACAUGCACCUAUUGCUCCUAUUAACUAUUGCUACAUUACAAACUACCUUGAAACUAAGUGGCUUAAGGGAAUAAUUAUCUUAUUUUUCCAUGAUUAUGUGGGUCAGGAAUUAAGCCACAAUUUGGUGAGGCAAUUCUUGGUUAGGGUCUUUCAUUGGUAUUGAACUAGUCUGGUCUAGAGGGUCAAGAGGUGCCCUUCAGAAAGCCUGUCAGCUCCGGCUCAACUGGGAAUUCUUUCUCCAUGUAGCAUCCUGUUCCUCAGGGGGUCUCUACAGCAGCAGGGUAGAUGGACUUUUUAAUUCAGCCCUGAUAAAAUCCCAAGAGACUAUUUCAAGAGAACAAGGUAGAAGCUAUAAGGCUUCUUUUGACUUAACCUCUGAAAUCCUGCAGGAUCAUUUCUACCCCAUUCUAUUGGUAAGAAUUGAGUCACAGGCCUGGCCUAGAUUGAAGGAGAGGGUGGAUGAAUACAAGAGAAGUAAGAAUGCUGCAGGCAGGGUUGAUGGGAGGGCUAUCUUUAGAGAUUAGUCUGAGAAGCGUCUAGAUAAAAACCACUCUUGAAAUUGGACAUAAUUCCAAUGAUGCUGUUGUCACCCUUAUAAAUUGGCAUUGUGAAAACUGCCUCGUUAGUCUCCCCUUUACCAAUCUCUGUUGAUGUCAACAGCUUGUAUUAGUUAUUCUGUGGAGUUGUCUAUGUUAGAAGUUGAUGGACCUGAGUUCAUUUCAAGACCUUGAUUAUCACGUAUCAAUUGAUAGAAAGUCUAAAUUGGCAACACGGAGGCUCUGCUUACAGGCUGCACCCCGACUCCCAUAAAGCUCUAGCUGGAAUACAUAGCUUGUCCAGUUUCAUUACUGUAUAGAUUAGUCUGACUCAUACUGAAUAAUUAACACCCAUGCAGCUUUAUAAGUUACUGUAAUUUAGACUUUAAUAAUUAUCAUUCAGGAUCUGAUGUCCGAUGCUGUUUAAUAUCGAAAGAAAUUUUUCCCCAUGUUCCUGCUUCAGUCCUUCUCCUUAUAGUCUAAUCUAUUGUCAAUCCUUCAAAACUCUAAGACCCAUCGUGACACUUCUCUGAUUGGAGCCCUCAAUGGUCGCUAUUAGGAAAAUGCAGGGUUUUUAUGAUGAUUCAUGAGGCCCUAUACGACUUACCUCUUCUUUCUCUCUCCUCUUACAUUCAUUCAGCAUAUAUUUAUUAAGUGCUUACUGUAUGCUAAAAGAAAAUAUGGGAGCAAACAAAACAGAAAAAAUAAUUGUUCUCUGGAGUAUCCCCUAUGUAUUGUUCACUAUUCUCCAUUUGUGCUGGUCUUCCUGUUGUUGGUGGAACAUCUCAAGCAUGUUUUCAUUACAGGGUCUUUGCAUUUUCUGUUUUCUCUGCUUGAUCUCUUAAUUCAUUUAGUUCCUUAUGUUCAAAGAUCACUUCCACAAAAUCUAUUUCUUGACCACUCUAUAUAAUGUAGAAGUCACCCCCAUACUGCAGUCCCUACUCCCUUUUAUCUUACCAAUAUUUAUUACCAUAUGACAAACUUAUAUCAAAUUGCUUAUUUGUUCUUUAUCUCUUUCAACUCAAAUGGAAUAACUGAGGACAGGAUCUAUCUAUGCUUUUUAAUAUUAUAAUGUGUUCCCAAAGCACAGUAGGCUUUCAAUAAGGGCUUGUUGAAUGAGUUUUGGAUCCAGUAAUACAAAUUUGUUAACAAAAAGCCAGACAGCCCCUCAGAUAUGAUAAGCCCCCCCAGUUAUAUGUUUUUUUUUUUUUUUUAAAAUCUGAACUGUUCAACUGUCCAGACUAGAUUUCAUUUGGUAUGUUUCUUCUCCCAAGGUUGAAUACAUUAUAAUCUAUAUUUAUCUACAGUAGCCUAAGGGGAGAGGGAGUAGGAGCCCCACUCUGUGGUCCUAUUGAAGCAAUUAAAGUCCUCCCUUGGACUUUACUUAGAGAAAAAAUGUAUGGAAGAGGAAGAGGAAUCUUGAGUCAUCUUAAGAUUUGUCAUAUUUUGUAUUCAUGCAUUACUCUCCUAAUUUAUUCUGUUAGGCAAUGAAGCAGCAAAUGUUGGUUUACUUUAAUUAAAAGACCUACUCAAAUUAAACGAACAUCAUUUAAAGUUACAUUAAAGACACCAUCAUAUAGUAAUUGCAACUAUACAAACAUAAUGGAGAACUGGGCAGCAAUUUUUUAAAUUUGCCAUUGAUAAUGCCCAGAUUGAUCAACUUAGGCACAAAACCCCACUUAUUUGUCACCCAUAAAUUCAGACAAUGCCUUGCUAUGAUGCCUUGCUUCUGUAGACAGAUUAAUUUCAAUCUUUUUCACCUUCCACUUUCAAGUUACAUAGGAUUUUGAGUUAUUUAAAAAACAUUAACUCCAAAAAGAAAAAAAAAAAAACUUAAUGGUGCUGAGUUAUUCCAGUAUAUCUAAAACAAUAUAGGAAAAAUUAUAAUCAUUAACCACAAAGGAUAUUAAUGUGAUUAAUAAUUUAAUGGAAAGAUCAGCAAGCUAAGGCUGCAGGACUCACCCUGUGAGUUGUUUAUUUUAUUUUUAGAUGUUGAUGGACCUUUAUUUUAUUUAUUUAUUUAUAUGUGAUGCUGAGACUUGAACAUGGUAGGCAAGCGCUCUAACACUGAGCCACAACUUCAGCCACAAGUUGUUUAUUAAAACUAAGAGCUAGGAAUGGCUUUUACAUUUUUAAAUAGUCAAGAAAAAUAAAGAAUAUUUUAUAACAUGAGAAUGUUAUCUGAAGUUCAACUGUCAGCAUCUGUAAGUAAAGUUUGAUUAGCACACAGCCAUACUAUUACUUAGAGUUCAUCUAUAUUGGUGGCUUCUUUCACUCUAAAACAGAGGUGAAGAGUGGCCAGAGAAAUUUGGUGGUCCAUAAAGGCUGAAGAGAAAAGUUCUAUCUUUUUGGAAAAAGUUCUCUGACCCUGAUUUAAUGCAUUGUUCUCCCAAUUUUUUCAGGAGAUCAUGUGCAUUAUUAAUUGAGGAAUAAAAAUGAAGUGCAGAUUUUUUUUCCUCCAGGACUUUUACUCUGGACUCUAGAACAGUUUCAGGGCUCAGACUCACCUGGAGGGGAGCAGGAGGCCUCACCAGGCUUAGGACACACUGACUCAUGCAUGUGGAGAGCUUCACUUUGUCCUAGUCAGUCCACUAGGGUAUUAAUUUCUUGUGCAUCGCAUCUCAUUCACAGUGUGCACAGUUUUUCUCAGGAUCCAUUCUGUUGCCAUUCUUGCGAUAUUUUUAGUUCCACUUUUAUGUUAAUAUGGUGCUUCAAAUAAGCUAAUAUAAUUUAAAGAGACAAAAAUCCACAAAGUAAUUGUACAGAUUAAACAACUAGCCACGUAGAACAGAUUUCAGUAUUCAUAAGCAAAAUUGUUACUAGUUUCCCAUUAAUUUAAAUCUGAAGGGAAAUGGGUGCUCAGUCAUGAAUUAUUCUGGGGGAAAAUAAGGGGUUGGGCUUGUGUGUGGAAUAAGACAGGGGACCUUGAAUUCCAGUGCAUUGCACAGAAACAGCAAUGUUAAUCUGUAUGUUUGACAUCUGUCACUCUGUGUCAAGUCUCAGUAAGGAUUUUGACCCAAAUCCUCUAAAACCAGUUAGAUAUGCUCCUAGCUAACUGAGUGACCCUCACUCAAUCUUUGCUUUCUCUUCUUGGUUCUUUUUAAUAUUGUUGUCACUUAUUUAAUAUGAAAAUGUUUUUACUUUAUAAAUGUCAUUGUUAUUUUCUUCAGGGAUUAAUUAUCCAAAGUUUAAAUUUAAAAUACUUUCUUAUAGCUCACAUGAACAGUAAAUAUAUGUUAAAUAACUAAACAUGACUUGUAUGACAUUUGAAGUAAGGGGAGAAAGUGGAAUAUUUUUGCAAUCUCAUUCUAAAUUUGAUCUGGAAGAAUAGUCAUUUCAGUUUUAUGGAUUCGUUUUAUUUUUAGUUUUUCAUAGAUUUAGUUUUUUAGAUUUAGAUUUUCAUACAUUUAGUUUUUUUAGGCAAGCCUUUUUCUGAUUAAUUUUUUGGGGGGAGAUACUAGAAAUUUAACCUAGGGAUACUUUACCACGGAGUAACCUCCCUCGCCCUUUAAAAAAUAUUUUCGAGACAGGGUCUUACUUAUUUGCUUAGGGCUUUGCUAAAUUUCCCAGGCCACCCUUGAACUUGUGAUCCUUCUGUCUCAGCCGCCAGGUUGCUGGGAUUACAAGCGUGUGCUACAGUGCCUGGCUUCUUAAUGAAAUUUUUGUUGAGAAAAUUGUAAAUUCAUGUGUGGUUUUAAGAAAUAAUAGGGUGAUCUCAUAUACCCUUUAGCUAGUUUCUCCAGUGAAAAUAUUUUGUAAAACUAUCGCACAAUAUCACAACUAAAAUAUUCACAUUAAUACAUUAAUACAGGCUAUCUAUCUUUUUCUUGUUUCCCCAACUGUACUUGUAAUCCUGUGUGUGUGUGUAUGUGUGUGUGUGUGUGCAUAGUCCUAUACAAUUUUACACAUGUAUAAAAUUAUUCCUGCUCUAUUUUAUUUUUAAGAAAUUAAUAUUGGACAGGCAUAUCUUUUUUAUUUUGUACUCUCAAUUCUCAAUGUUAAAUUUGAAGGGAGUUUCUUGUAAAAAGCAUAUCCUUUUGUAUUUCACAAUCCCUGUUUCUUGACUGGUACAUUUGAAUCACUUUUAUAUUUUGGGUAAUUACUGAUCUUUUACUGAUUAAAUGUGUCAUUGUGUUUAUUUUCUGCUUUGUUUCUUCUGGUUCUCAUUCCCAUGUUCUCUUUUCCUGCCUUGCUGUGGGUUGGUUGAACAUUCUCAGAGCUCUGUUAGGUUUAUUUGCAGUGUUUUGGGGUGUGCCUAUAUAGUUUCCACUGUGGUUUCUCUAGGUUUUACCUUCUGCCCUCGUGACUUAUUACCGUCUACUCGUGACAACAUUUUGCUACUUGGAGAGAAGCAUGGAACCUCACUUAGUUUCCCUUUUACCUUCUUCACUUCUAAAAUUAUCAUAUUGAAUAUUAGAUGUUUUAUGAAUUUUGUUUCAAACAUGAAAUAUGACUAAAAAUCACAAGGAGAAUGAUAGAAACAUCACAGAAAUCUGAUGAUAUAAAUGUUGGACCUUUUCUUUUUGUCCCACAGAUUCCUGAGGCUCUAUUCAUUUAUUUUCCGAUUUUCUUUUAGUCCUCAUAUUGUAUGACUUUCAUUUUUUUGUCUACAAAGUCACUGAUUCUAUCUUCUGUCACCUCCUCUCUUACUAUU